UAGAAACCAUUCCACUGGACAAGGCGCC
rnacentral:piRNA from 1 species